rnacentral:rRNA from 1 species
CGCGGCCUAUCAGCUUGUUGGUGGGGUAAUGGCCUACCAAGGCGACGACGGGUAGCCGGCCUGAGAGGGCGACCGGCCACACUGGGACUGAGACACGGCCCAGACUCCUACGGGAGGCAGCAGUGGGGAAUAUUGCACAAUGGGCGGAAGCCUGAUGCAGCGACGCCGCGUGAGGGAUGACGGCCUUCGGGUUGUAAACCUCUUUCACCCAUGACGAAGCGCAAGUGACGGUAGUGGGAGAAGAAGCGCCGGCCAACUACGUGCCAGCAGCCGCGGUAAGACGUAGGGCGCGAGCGUUGUCCGGAAUUAUUGGGCGUAAAGAGCUCGUAGGCGGCUUGUCGCGUCGGCUGUGAAAUCCCGUGGCUCAACUGCGGGUCUGCAGCCGAUACGGGCAGGCUAGAGUUCGGUAGGGGAGACUGGAAUUCCUGGUGUAGCGGUGAAAUGCGCAGAUAUCAGGAGGAACACCGAUGGCGAAGGCAGGUCUCUGGGCCGAUACUGACGCUGAGGAGCGAAAGCGUGGGGAGCGAACAGGAUUAGAUACCCUGGUAGUCCACGCUGUAAACGUUGGGCGCUAGGUGUGGGGGACCUCUCCGGUUCUCUGUGCCGCAGCUAACGCAUUAAGCGCCCCGCC